UUUGCUGUUGUUUAAACCUUUCAGAAAACAGCUUCAGCUCAGAGUCCCCUGGCUUCUCACAGCCUCCACGGCUUCCUCCUGAAACUUCAUAUGGCAAACUGCGACCUGUGCGAGCAGCUCCGCCACCCCCAACGCAGCAGCACCACCGCCGGCCAGCAGAGAAGAUUGAGGAUGUGGAAAUCACGCUGGUGUAGCGGUUGGACUCGUUCCGUAGGAGUGCUACAAUCAAGACCAAACUCGGGAUUUGGUCGGUCUCGUUUUUAGGCACCUUUGCAUGAUGAAGACUUCGAAUAGAGCAAGAGAUAGGGGGGAUUUUCUGGGACGGUGACAUGGCGGACUCCUUCCCACGGUCAUGACUAUUUUGUGCCUUUGUUUCGUUUUUGCUUUCUAUACAUCAUUCUUCCUCUCUUAGCACAAACCCAGGCGGGCCGAGCAGCGAGCGGAGGAUCGCCACCGAGCAGGUUUCUCUCUUGGCUGAAGAUGGUCGUUUUUAUACGGAGGCUGAGAAGGAGCCUCCUUCCGCAGCGUAGUCACAGCGCCCUUCCAUCACCUGCGUUAGUACAGUAUAUUACUGUUGCCAUAGGAAUGUGUUAAAGAUUGUCAAUUCUUCAAGUAGCGUUACUUGUCUGAUUAGGUAUUAAUCAGCUCUAACGGAGUGAAAAAGGGAACUGAGAAAUGAGUGUAAGGAGAGGCUGGCUCCUCUUUAAUGCCCUCGCGGAAGGAAGAAACAGGAAAAUAGUCUUAUAGGUAAGGAAAAGUGAUGCGGAUCAUACAGCGUUAAUUACAUUAAUGCACACCUCUCCAAUAAUUAACAGUUAAGCGGAACUAAAUGUUCUUUGUAUUAAUAUUUAUGCAGUACAUUUAGUAAUAGAGUAUCUAAUACGGAGGUGCUGAAUUAGUAGCAACAUCUUCUUCCAUAGCAUAAACCGACCGGUAGAGAAGUGAGAUUUUUGUCUAGAUCUGGAAAUUGAGCUUCAUUUUUUUUUGUUUUCUUAGCAGAUUUUGGGGGGGUUUUGUUUUUUAAGUGUUUGGCUCACUCUUAUCCCAGUUAUCGCUGCGUGCUUUAUUACCCAACGUUAGCAGUGUAUCUCUGUCACCAUCAGGCUGGAGUUAGAUUACACAUCGCCUGCCUACCUGCCAUAUUUAGGUUCUGCAUUGGACAGCCCCGUAGCCUUGUCCCAGCAGAGCCCUGAAAGGAGCCUCAUACAGCUGCUGAGCUCCCUACUGUCUGCAGACCUCCAGGUUGCUGCUGGGGCUGCGGUCCCAGAUUCCUCUCUCACAGCAAAUAGAGAGAGGACAUCAAAACGACUUUUAAACCUCUGGAAAGAAAACUCGGUUUUGUUGUUGUUCAAAAAGAAAAGGGGAGAAAUGGUCAGAGGAGAGGGGAGGAGCAGACGAAAGCGAGUUGUUCUUCACCUGUGAGCAGUGAACUGUUGCUGGAAGAGCAGCACCCAUCAGAUGAAAGCUUCGGGCAUCACAAGGCAGUCUUCCCUUCUGUUGUGAGUUCUGUGGAUGCUCUGUUAACGCGUUCGCUUUCCCCUCCGCCAGUAGCAGUUCUGCCUUUAGUUGAGUUCCAAGGGCUGUUCUUUGAGGCUGCAUUCACAACAACCAUCCAACAAGAUUCCAGCUGUGCGCCUCCUUUGGGCCGCAUCUCCCAACCUGCCCAUCUCCCUCCCCAGCGGCCGCUGGGAGAAGAGGAGCUCCUGGAUGGGUUCUGGAACCGCUGACUGUCCACUGCGGUCUGAUUCUUUCGUACCUCUUGUCCUGUUGAUCUGUUUGAGGUCUUUUUACGUGUUUAUCAAACUUGUUCUUAAGUUUAAAAAAAAAAAAAAAAGAAUAAAAAUGUUUUUAUUAAGAUUUAACUGCAGAAACGUCGAAAGCUUCGCAGCGCAGAAGAAAAGCAAGUCUUGCCAUAGUGCCCACCCCGUCGGCCAGUUUUUGUCUGUGUGUCCUCCAUAGGCGGACUCUCAAAAUUCAGAAAAGUGUUAUUUAAAGCCUCUUUUUAGUUGUAUUUUAAAAUAUUUUCUGCAAGAGCUGCUAAUUUUAUUUAAAAAAAAAAAAAAAAAAAAGGAAAAAAAAUGAGGAAAAGUUGUACAAAUAUGCCUCCUUUCAAUAUGAUUUCUUCAUACAGGGCAUGUAUUCGACGUCUCAUCGUGUACAGUGUCAGUACACUGAAAGCAUCGGUGCAAAUGCUUUCUAUCGGCUGUAAAAAGUUUGUAUUUAUUAUGUAUAAAAAGUUGAAUAAUAAAAAAAAGAAAAAAGAA